GCGGGAGUGCCGGAGAGGCCAAACGGGCAGGACUCAGAAUUUUUAUUCUGAAUGCCAAACUUAAGGUCCUCCGAGAAAAAAAGGAGGAGAAAUCCUGUGGCUUAGUGCCUGCGAAGGUUCGAAUCCUUCCUCCCGCA
rnacentral:tRNA from 1 species